CCUCCGAUAGCUCAACGGAAGAGUCCUGGACUGACUCUAUAUGAUCUCGAUGAGCCCAUGAAACAAUGCCCAUCGCUGGUUCGACUCCAGUUCGGAGGC